rnacentral:snRNA from 1 species
ACACUUACCUGUCAGGUAAGAAAGAUACCAUGAUCACAGGGUGGUUUUCCCAGUGAGCAAGGCUUAUCCACUGCACUCCGGAUAUGCUGGCCUCUGCCAUUUUUCCAAAUGCAUUUAUACUCUCUUCUUAGAAAUAGGGGAAGUAAAGUGAUAGCUGUGAAAAGCUUUCAUUUUUAAAAUUCUUGA